UACGAGGGGGGCGAGCGUUUGUUCGGAAUUAUUGGGCGUAAAGGGUGCGUAGGCGGUUUGGUAAGUCUGAUGUGAAAUCUAUGGGCUCAACUCAUAGUCUGCAUCGGAAACUGCCGGGCUUGAGUAUGGGAGAGGUGAGUGGAAUUCCUGGUGUAGCGGUGAAAUGCGCAGAUAUCAGGAAGAACACCCGUGGCUAAGGCGGCUCUCUAGUACGGUACUGACGCUGAGACGCGAAAGCGUGGGGAGCGAACAGG
rnacentral:rRNA from 1 species